rnacentral:tRNA from 1 species
GGACCAUUAGCUCAGUUGGUUAGAGCAAACGGCUCAUAACCGUUCGGUC